AUUGAACGCUGGCGGCAGGCCUAACACAUGCAAGUCGAACGAGUGGCGGACGGGUGAGGAAUGUCUGGGAAACUGCCCGAUGGAGGGGGAAAACUAAUGGAAACGGUAGCUAAUACAGCAUACCAUCGGAUGUGCCCAGAUGGGAUUAGCUAGUAGGUGGGGUAAAGGCUCACCUAGGCGACGAUCCCUAGCUGGUCUGAGAGGAUGACAAGCCACACUGGAACUGAGACACGGUCCAGACUCCGACGGGAGGCAGCAGUGGGGAAUAUGGCACAAUGGGAGCAAGCCGGAUGCAGCCAUGCCGCGUGUAUGAAGAAGGCCGUCGGGUGUGAAAGUACUUUCAGCGAGGAGGCGUUACUCGCAGAAGAAGCAUCGGCUAACUCCGUGCCAGCCGCCGCGGUAAUUC
rnacentral:rRNA from 1 species